AAGUUAAGUCGAUCCCACCAAUAGCGGUUCAAAGGUAUGUUAUCAGUUUUCCGUUAAAGAAAGAAGGGAAAAAACGUGAUGGCAGGUUAAUUAGAAAACACGAGUUUCGAGAUUCGAAGAAAAAUUCGAUCUUUUCAUGGUAUACAAUAAAAGUGUUAGAAAUAUUGUACGAAGUGAAACAAUAAUUUUCUUUUUUUGUCUUCUACGAAUUGGACAAGUUGGGACUAUUGUUAGACUUUUGUUCUGUUCAUUCAACGAACAAUCGAUAGAAAAAGUAAAUGAGGUCGAUUUCAUGAAUAAUAUUUUUCUGGAUUCCUUUUCUCAUUAACGGCAAAUUUGAUUCGAAUAUAUAAAUCAUUAUUGAAUAGAGUCUUUCAUAAAUAAAUAUGAAAUUUGAAGAAAAAUUGUUUAACAGAGCAAUUAGAUCGAUUUUAUCAAUGACUUCAAGAGUUACAUCUUCAGCUAGAUACCAUACUAGAUAAAAUCAUUUCGUGAUAACAAAUGACAGCAAAUUUGUUGGCAAGCUCCUCCAAAAUCCCUAGCUUGUCCACAGACUUAAUUGCAGAAUAUUACCUCUCCUAACUACUUCAUCUCAACACACAUACCACAACUUAACACACAUUUAAUACAUUAAGAGCUUCGUAUAUUUAUGGAGAAUUGGUAAAACAAGAUAGAAAUAAAUAAAUAUAGGAUUUGAAAAUAUUAUUUUUAUAUUGCUUCAUAUAUAUAUAUAUUGAAAUGUUUAUAAGAAAUUGAUUUUAAUGUUCGAAAUUAGUUUGUUUAAUCCGAACUAUAUCUAGAAAAAUGAAACAUAACCUCUCGUAAGUAAUAACUGAAUUUUCAUAAAAUAAUUUAUAAAGUUGAAACUUCAUACAGAAAUUUAGUCCAUCUAUAUGAAAAUUAUUGAUAUUCAAUUGAUAUUCCAUAUUUAAAUAUUAUCUAUAUCGUAAUAAUCAAAAUAAUGUCCUAAGACUAAGUGACAGCACGUUUGCUAACGUUCGCGUCUAAAAGCUAGCUCAUCCGAAAUCUCAUCGCCAAGUUAAUCACAGAAUAUUAGCAAUUCUAAAUCACUACAAAACCUAAUACGUAUAUCUAGAACUAUGCUCGUGGAAACUCGAUUUCUCAGAGAAUUUCAUUUUCUUCAAUCAAUCCGUUUUCCUAUGAAAAAAGCUAUCGAUUAAUUUCUCUUUCUUUCUUUUUUUUUUUUUUUUUUUACAAAAGAGUAAAUGUGAUCUUUUAACUAUAA